UUCCGCAAUGGGCGAAAGCCUGACGGAGCAACGCCGCGUGAGUGAUGAAGGUCUUCGGAUCGUAAAACUCUGUUGUUAGGGAAGAACAAAUUUGUUAGUAACUGAACAAGUCUUGACGGUACCUAACCAGAAAGCCACGGCUAACUACGUGCCAGCAGCCGCGGUAAUACGUAGGUGGCAAGCGUUAUCCGGAAUUAUUGGGCGUAAAGCGCGCGUAGGCGGUUUCUUAAGUCUGAUGUGAAAGCCCACGGCUCAACCGUGGAGGGUCAUUGGAAACUGGGAAACUUGAGUGCAGAAGAGGAGAGUGGAAUUCCAUGUGUAGCGGUGAAAUGCGCAGAGAUAUGGAGGAACACCAGUGGCGAAGGCGGCUCUCUGGUCUGUAACUGACGCUGAUGUGCGAAAGCGUGGGGAUCAAACAGGAUUAGAUACCCUGGUAGUCCACGCCGUAAACGAUGAGUGCUAAGUGUUAGGGGGUUUCCGCCCCUUAGUGCUGCAGCUAACGCAUUAAGCACUCCGCCUGGGGAGUACGACCGCAAGGUUGAAACUCAA
rnacentral:rRNA from 1 species